UACGGAGGGUGCAAGCGUUGCUCGGAAUUAUUGGGCGUAAAGCGCACGCAGGCGGCGUGGUAAGUCAGUUGCGAAACUCCCGGGCUUAACUUGGGAACUGCAGCUGAUACUGCCAUGCUUGAGUACGGAAGAGGGGAGUGGAAUUCCCAGUGUAGAGGUGAAAUUCGUAGAUAUUGGGAGGAACACCGGUGGCGAAGGCGGCUCCCUGGUCCGAUACUGACGCUCAUGUGCGAAAGCGUGGGGAGCAAACAGG
rnacentral:rRNA from 1 species